rnacentral:rRNA from 1 species
GACAGAGGUGCCGAGCGUUAGGCGGAAUCACUGGGCUUAAAGCGUGUGUAGGCGGGUCGUUAAGUGUCUUGGGAAAUCCCACCGCUCACCGGUGGAACGGCUGGGCAUACUGGCGACCUUGAGAGGCCUAGGGGCAGACGGAACAAGCGGUGGAGCGGUGAAAUGCGUAGAUAUCGCUUGGAACGCCGACGGCGAAAGCAGUCUGCUGGGGGCCUUCUGACGCUGAGACACGAAAGCCAGGGGAGCGAACGGG